rnacentral:rRNA from 1 species
UGCAGCCGAGCGGUAGAGAUUCUUCGGAAUCUUGAGAGCGGCGCACGGGUGCGGAACACGUGUGCAACCUGCCUUUAUCUGGGGGAUAGCCUUUCGAAAGGAAGAUUAAUACCCCAUAAUAUAUUGAAUGGCAUCAUUUGAUAUUGAAAACUCCGGUGGAUAGAGAUGGGCACGCGCAGGAUUAGAUAGUUGGUGAGGUAACGGCUCACCAAGUCAACGAUCCUUAGGGGGCCUGAGAGGGUGAUCCCCCACACUGGUACUGAGACACGGACCAGACUCCUACGGGAGGCAGCAGUGAGGAAUAUUGGACAAUGGGUGAGAGCCUGAUCCAGCCAUCCCGCGUGAAGGAUGACGGCCCUAUGGGUUGUAAACUUCUUUUGUAUAGGGAUAAACCUACUCUCGUGAGAGUAGCUGAAGGUACUAUACGAAUAAGCACCGGCUAACUCCGUGCCAGCAGCCGCGGUAAUACGGAGGGUGCAAGCGUUAUCCGGAUUUAUUGGGUUUAAAGGGUCCGUAGGCGGAUGUGUAAGUCAGUGGUGAAAUCUCACAGCUUAACUGUGAAACUGCCAUUGAUACUGCAUGUCUUGAGUGUUGUUGAAGUAGCUGGAAUAAGUAGUGUAGCGGUGAAAUGCAUAGAUAUUACUUAGAACACCAAUUGCGAAGGCAGGUUACUAAGCAACAACUGAC